rnacentral:tRNA from 1 species
GGGCUCGUGGUCUAGUGGCUAUGAUAUCACCUUGACGUGGUGAGGGUCCCAGGUUCGAAUCCUGGCGGGCCCA